UACAGAGGGUGCAAGCGUUGUUCGGAAUUAUUGGGCGUAAAGAGCGUGUAGGCGGCCAUGUAGGUCCGUUGUGAAAACUCGAGGCUCAACCUCGAGACGCCGAUGGAAACCAUGUGGCUAGAGUCCGGAAGAGGAGAGUGGAAUUCCUGGUGUAGCGGUGAAUGCGCAGAUAUCAGGAAGAACACCCGUGGCUAAGGCGGCUCUCUAGUACGGUACUGACGCUGAGACGCGAAAGCGUGGGGAGCGAACAGG
rnacentral:rRNA from 1 species